rnacentral:ncRNA from 1 species
AUUGCCAACAGCUUUGCAAUGUACGGAAUGAGCGGCAGGUUCAGGAUCAACAAAACAAGGUUGCCGAUGAACAUAGACAUGAUGACGGCCCAGAAAAUUUGUGGCUCAUCGACCAUAAGGCGCGGCCC